UACGAAGGGGGCGAGCGUUGUUCGGAAUUACUGGGCGUAAAGGGCGCGCAGGCGGCCUAUCAAGUCAGGCGUGAAAGCCCCGGGCUUAACCUGGGAAUUGCGCUUGGGACUGAUGGGCUAGAGUUCGGGAGAGGAGAGUGGAGUUCCCAGUGUAGAGGUGAAAUCCGUAGAUAUUGGGAAGAACACCAGUGGCGAAGGCGGCUCACUGGCCCGAUACUGACGCUGAGGCACGGAAAGCGUGGGGAGCAAACAGGG
rnacentral:rRNA from 1 species